rnacentral:rRNA from 1 species
CAGCCGCCACGGUAAUACGGAGGGAGCUAGCGUUGUUCGGAAUUACUGGGCGUAAAGCGCGCGUAGGCGGUUACUCAAGUCAGAGGUGAAAGCCCGGGGCUCAACCCCGGAACUGCCUUUGAAACUAGGUGACUAGAAUCUUGGAGAGGUCAGUGGAAUUCCGAGUGUAGAGGUGAAAUUCGUAGAUAUUCGGAAGAACACCAGUGGCGAAGGCGACUGACUGGACAAGUAUUGACGCUGAGGUGCGAAAGCGUGGGGAGCAAACAGGAUUAGAUACCCCAGUAGUCCCUGUCUCUUAUAC